rnacentral:tRNA from 1 species
AGAUGCUUAGGUUAAUUACUAAACCAGUAGCCUUCAAAGCUACAAAUAGGGCUUAAACUCCCUAGAAUCUG